rnacentral:rRNA from 1 species
CGUGUAGGCGGCCAAACAGGUCCGUUGUGAAAACUGGAGGCUCAACCUCCAGACGUCGACGGAAACCGUAUGGCUAGAGUCCGGAAGAGGAGAGUGGAAUUCCUGGUGUAGCGGUGAAAUGCGCAGAUAUCAGGAAGAACACCUAUGGCGAAGGCAGCUCUCUGGGACGGUACUGACGCUGAAACGCGAAAGCGUGGGGAGCGAACA